GACUGAGAUACUUGGUCAGCGGUCAGGUACUCUAACGUCUAGGCCAUCCUGUAAAUCCCUGUGUUAUUGUUAGUUGACUGAGAUACUUGGUCAGUGGUCAGGUACUCUAACGUCUAGGCCAGGGGUGUCAAACCGGUUCCACGGAGGGCCGAGUGUCUGCAGGUCUUUGGGUUUUCCUUUAAAUUGGUUCCCAGGUCAGACCUGAACAACCAGGUGGGGAUAGAAAUUAACCAAUUAGUGAACUAAUUAAUCAAUCAAGUACAAGGUGAGAGCGAAAACCUGCAGACACUCGGCCCUCCGUGGAACCGGUUUGACACCUGUGGUCUAGGCCAUCCUGUAAAUCCCUGUGUUAUUGUUAGUUGACUGAGAUACUUGGUCAGCGGUCAGGUACUCUAACGUCUAGGCCAUCCUGUAAAUCCCUGUGUUAUUGUUAGUUGACUGAGAUACUUGGUCAGCGGUCAGGUACUCUAACGUCUAGGCCAUCCUGUAAAUCCCUGUGUUAUUGUUAGUUGACUGAGAUAUUUGGUCAGCGGUCAGGUACUCUAACGUCUAGAGUACCUGACCGCUGGUGAAUUAAUAUGACAGGUUAUGGUUGUUAGGUUAGGAGAGUUAAUAUGAGAGGUUAUGGUUGUUAUGUUAGGAGAGUUAAUAUGAGAGGUUAUGGUUGUUAGGUUAGGAGAGUUAAUAUGAGAGGUUAUGGUUGUUAUGUUAGGAGAGUUAAUAUGAGAGGUUAU
ensembl:lncRNA